GGAAAUAAAAAUAUUAAAUGUUUUGAAUAAAAUAAUUAAUAUGACCGAUAACAUUUUAAAGGCGUGUAGAGUUCUCAAUGAAGAAUCAUCAGAGACUAUGUAUCGAAAAAUGUCCCAGUUAUUAUCAGAGGUGGGUGUGCGGAGUGGCCAGCCGUUCAAAAAUGGAAUUCACAUUAUUUCAGG
rnacentral:lncRNA from 1 species